AUUGCACGCUGGCGGCAGGCUUAACACAUGCAAGUCGAACGAGCGGCGGACGGGUGAGUAAGGUAUGGGGACUGCCCGCUAGAGGGGGAUAACUACUGGAAACGGUAGCUAAUACCGCAUACUAUCGGAUAACCCAUAUGGGAGUAGCUAGUAGGUGGGGUAAAGGAUCACCUAGGCGACGAUCUCUAGCAGGUCUGAGAGGAUGAUCAGCAACCCUGUGACUGCGACACGGCCCAGACUCCUGCGGAGGCAGCAGUGGGGAAUAUUGCACAAUGGGCGCAAGCCUGAUGCAGCCAUGCCGCGUGUAUGAAGAAGGCCUUAGGGUUGUAAAGUACUUUCAGCGGGGAGGCGUUACCCGCAGAAGAAGCACCGGCUAACUCCGUGCCAGCAGCCGCGGUAAUUC
rnacentral:rRNA from 1 species